rnacentral:rRNA from 1 species
UCAAUAGCCUAACGGCUGAACCAGCAACUUGAAUGAAUGUAUAGCGAAAGCUAAUUGUAUAAUAUAUACAAUACCGAAGUAUUCGGCUAAAAUUCUGGAUAGGAUUUUAUAAUGACAUUUCCUAUCCAUAUGUCUUGACCAAAUUUUGUGCCAGCAGUCGCGGCAAUACAACAAAGACUAGUGUUAUUCAUGUUUAGUCGGUUUAAAAGGUAACUAGACGGUAUACCAAGCCUUAAUAUUAAAUCUAAUACUAAAGAUAAACAAAGCGAUUAUAUGAUAUAUUUCUGGUUUAUCUUUUUUAUUUUAAAGGGACUAGUUUACUAGAGUUUAAUAUAUAGGAGCAUUAAAGUACUGAUAGGUGUAGAGAUGAAAUUCGUUGAUACCAUAUAUGGCACAGGUUUAGGCGGAAGCAUCUCCUUAUGUAAAAACUGACGUUCAGGUACGAAGGCUAUGUGCAGCAAACAGGAUUAGAUACCCUGGUAGUUUUAGCAGAAAAUGAUGAAUGUCAUAGGAUAGACUAUGUUUAUUUUAUAAAUGAAAGUGUAAGCAUUCUACCUCAUGAGUAAUUUGGCAACAUUGGAAUUGAAAUCAUUAGACCGUUUCUGAUAUAAGCAGUGAAGUAUGUUGUUUAAUUUGAUGAUCCGCAAAAAACCUUACCACACUUUGAAUAUUGCUUUAUGUUUUAAACCUUAAAGUAUUACAAGCGCUGCACGGUUGUCUUCAGUUUAUGUCGUGAGACUCUGGUUAACUCCUCUUAAUAAACGUAAACCCUUAUUUUAUUUAUUAAUAAAUUAGAUCCCCUUUAGAUUGGAUAUGAUACAAGGGACUAAGACAAAUCAUCAUGGCCU